UGCUUGGUGGGAUACAUCUAUAGUUGUCCCGUCUCUGCAUUGAACGUCAGCCCUUUUUCUGUGAUUCUUCCUUCCUUCCUUUCUGUCUAUCUUUCCUGGGUGGCUUCUUCUUCAACUCAAUCUUCUCUCUCAGUUAAAGGAUUGGGCAAGUUCCUGUUUGAUGUGCUCCUUGACAUUUGUAGCUAACGCGGUAACCAGAGAGAGCGAGAUCCCGAAAGAGCUCAAGCCAGGGCUGCCCACAAGGCUAAGCAGCCCAAAAAUGAUGGCCUGACCCCCGAACAAAGACGAGAGAGGGAUGCGAAAGCACUUCAGGAAAAGUUAGCUAGGAAAACAGCUGGGAACCACGAUAACUCUGUUGGUAACAAAGCCGGUAUCAAGAAGAAAUAGCAGCAGAUUAGUGUUUAAAUGUAGGUGAUGAAUGUUGUAAUAGAUGAUGGAUCAGAUUUGGGUUCCGGGGGCUUUAUUCAAGUCGCAUGUUUCAUGUCAUUUUGAUGGUUGAAGAUUGUCCUCCAAUAGGAGUAGGAUCAAAUCUGACAGCCAUUUGAAGUAUUCCCGAACUAUCAAAAAAAGUAUUCAUAUUUACUUCAGAUGAUCCUCCUCUGAGUACUCGUCGGCAAUUCUGUAAUCCGUGCGUGCAAUCAUGUCUCUCCAUUAAGGUCACAUAUAGGACCAUGAUCAAAGCUUAUUCACUUGGUGGAAUGUCUAGCCAUGCCAAAGAAAUCCAGAAUGUUCUUGCAUCAUUAGAGAAGAUUUCAUAGAUAUGAAGAAGCCGGAACUUCUAGACUACUUGGGAAUGUGCUGUUUUGAGCAGCAUGAAUUUUUUUCUUUCUGAUUGAGCAUGGCAAUUGUAUAGAUUUGGUUUAUGUGAUCCAUGCUGCUCUCUGACUAUCGUGCUCGGCAGUCCUUGUGUAAAGUAUGUUUCUUGACUACCUAAUGUAAACUUGUUUAUUUAGCAAUUAUAGCUAGUUGGAGUGUAUAAACUAGUGGUCAAUUGAUAUCGUGCUAUUAGUUUGCUUCA